rnacentral:rRNA from 1 species
AUGGGGAGGCCGCCGUGCUGCGACAAGGAGGGCGUCAAGAAGGGCCCCUGGACGCCGGAGGAGGACCUCGUGCUCGUCUCCUACGUCCAGGAGCACGGCCCCGGCAACUGGCGCGCCGUCCCCACCAGGACCGGUCUGAUGCGGUGUAGCAAGAGCUGCCGGCUCCGGUGGACCAACUACCUGCGCCCCGGGAUCAAGCGCGGCAACUUCACCGACCAGGAGGAGAAGCUCAUCGUCCACCUCCAGGCGCUGCUCGGCAACAGGUGGGCCGCGAUCGCCUCCUACCUCCCCGAGCGCACCGACAACGACAUCAAGAACUACUGGAACACGCACCUCAAGCGCAAGCUGCAGGCGGGGGGCGACGCCGCGGCCAAGCCGGCGGCGCAGAGGCCCGCCUCCUCCUCCAAGGGCCAGUGGGAGAGGCGGCUGCAGACGGACAUCAACAUGGCGCGCCGCGCGCUGCGCGAGGCGCUCACCACGCUCGACGACAUCAAGCCGCAGCAGCCCGACGUGGCCGACGGCGUCAAUGGGGCUGCCGCAGCCGGCGCCGACAGCGGCAGCCCGGCGGCCUCGAGCUCGUCGGCCGCGUCGCUGUCCCAGUGCUCGCCCUCCGCGGCCGGGCCGUACGUCCUCACCACCGCGAACAUCUCGCGGAUGCUCGACGGGUGGGCCAGCAAGGGCCGCAGCGCCGGCGCCGCGGCGGACAGCCCCUCCGGCUCGUCGGCCUCCGAGGUUUCCCACGGCAGCGGCGCGGCCGCCCGUGCGCUGGGGUCCGCGUUCGAGUACGACCGGAAGCCGGCCGUUCUGGCGCCGGAUCAGACGCAGCUGAACGCGAUCGAGACGUGGCUCUUCGCCGACGACAACAACAACAACGACCACCAUGGCCACGCAGCCGGCGGCAGCGGCUUGCUCGGCGUCCCCGCCAUGGGUUACCCUUUCUAG